rnacentral:rRNA from 1 species
AUACGUAGGGGGCGAGCGUUAUCCGGAAUUAUUGGGCGUAAAGAGUGCGUAGGCGGCUUUUUAAGCGUGGGGUGAAAGGCAUAGGCUCAACCUAUGUAAGCCUCGCGAACUGGAAAGCUUGAGUGCAGGAGAGGAAAGCGGAAUUCCUAGUGUAGCGGUGAAAUGCGUAGAUAUUAGGAGGAACACCAGUGGCGAAGGCGGCUUUCUGGACUGUAACUGACGCUGAGGCACGAAAGCGUGGGGAGCGAACAGGAUUAGAUACCCUGGUAGUCCACGCCGUAAACGAUGAGCACUAGGUGUCGGGGUCGCAAGGCUUCGGUGCCGCAGUUAACGCAUUAAGUGCUCCGCCUGGGGAGUACGCACGCAAGUGUGAA